AGUAGAUUGUACUGGCUUCGGCUUACCUGCUGUGAGCCCACUGGCAGGCUCCUGGAAGCUAGCCUUCGCCCUUGCUCUUUCACCGGCACUCCCUGCAUUAAUUUAGAAAAAGAUCCUGCAGGGAUUAACAGGACCUGAUGGAUCCCCUGGCUCCGUUGGGCCAAAGGGACAAAAAGGAGAACCUGGUGUGCCUGGAUCGCGUGGAUUUCCAGGCCGUGGUAUUCCUGGACCCCCUGGUCCUCCUGGGACAGCAGGACUCCCUGGAGAGCUUGGCCGUGUAGGACCUAUUGGAACAAUUGGCUUUCAUGAUGGAGAUCCAUUGUGUCCCAAUGCCUGUCCACCAGGUCGCUCAGGAUAUCCAGGCCUACCAGGCAUGAGGGGUCAUAAAGGGGCUAAAGGAGAAAUUGGUGAACCAGGAAGACAAGGACACAAGGGUGAAGAAGGUGACCAGGGAGAACUGGGAGAAGUUGGAGCUCAAGGACCUCCAGGAGCCCAGGGUUUGCGAGGCAUCACUGGCAUAGUUGGGGACAAAGGGGAAAAAGGUGCUCGGGGCUUAGAUGGUGAACCUGGGCCUCAGGGUCUUCCUGGUGCACCUGGUGAUCAAGGACAGCGAGGACCUCCAGGAGAAGCAGGUCCCAAAGGAGAUAGAGGCGCUGAAGGUGCUAGAGGAAUUCCUGGUCUCCCUGGGCCCAAAGGAGACACGGGUUUGCCAGGUGUGGAUGGCCGUGAUGGGAUCCCUGGAAUGCCUGGAACAAAGGGUGAACCAGGAAAACCUGGGCCUCCUGGUGAUGCAGGAUUGCAGGGGUUACCAGGUGUACCUGGAAUUCCUGGUGCAAAGGGUGUUGCUGGUGAAAAGGGUAGCACUGGUGCUCCAGGGAAGCCUGGUCAGAUGGGAAAUUCAGGCAAACCGGGCCAACAGGGGCCUCCAGGAGAGGUGGGACCCCGAGGACCCCAGGGGCUUCCUGGCAGUAGAGGAGAAUUAGGACCAGUGGGAUCCCCAGGCCUACCAGGUAAACCGGGUGUCGUCGGUGAACCGGGUCCAAAGGGUGAACAGGGUGCCUCUGGUGAAGAAGGUGAAGCAGGAGAAAGGGGGGAACUUGGAGAUAUAGGAUUACCUGGCCCAAAGGGAUCUGCAGGUAAUCCUGGGGAACCUGGCUUGAGAGGGCCUGAGGGAAGUCGGGGGCUUCCUGGAGUGGAAGGACCAAGAGGACCACCUGGACCCCGGGGCGUGCAGGGAGAACAGGGUGCCACCGGCCUGCCUGGUGUCCAGGGCCCUCCGGGUAGAGCACCGACAGAUCAGCACAUUAAGCAGGUUUGCAUGAGAGUCAUACAAGAGCAUUUUGCUGAGAUGGCUGCUAGUCUUAAGCGUCCAGACUCGGGUGCCACUGGGCUUCCUGGAAGGCCUGGUCCUCCUGGUCCCCCUGGCCCUCCUGGAGAGAAUGGUUUCCCAGGCCAGAUGGGAAUUCGUGGCCUUCCGGGCAUUAAGGGGCCCCCUGGUGCUCUUGGUUUGAGAGGACCUAAAGGUGACUUGGGAGAAAAGGGGGAGCGUGGCCCUCCAGGAAGAGGUCCCAAAGGUUUGCCUGGAGCUAUAGGUCUCCCAGGUGACCCAGGCCCUGCCAGCUAUGGCAGAAAUGGCCGAGACGGUGAGCGAGGCCCCCCAGGGGUGGCAGGAAUUCCUGGAGUGCCUGGACCCCCGGGACCUCCUGGGCUUCCCGGUUUCUGUGAGCCAGCCUCCUGCACCAUGCAGGCUGGUCAGCGAGCAUUUAGCAAAGGGCCUGACCCUUGAAAGGCUUACUGCUGCAUGGCUGUCUGCAUGAACCACGCCUGGUGGAGGAGCUUGGAUGAGAAGCUGGGGCAAAGAUGAUUACCUUCAGCAUGAUUACAAUGUAUUACCUUCAGUAUGAUUACAGAAGUCCUACUUGACAAUC
rnacentral:sRNA from 1 species